UAUCUUUAUUAUUUUGUAAUAUGUAUGAUAUUAUCCUUAAUAUCUGGUUAAUGAAAGAUCACUACCUUAUUUUUCUUCGAUUACCAACUAGCACCACUCUUCUUCCAUCUCUACCACUUUGCCCUCCGUCACCGUUACAAUAUGAUCAUUACCAAAUCCACAAUAUAUUUUGUAACUGCAUCUUUUUCUAUAAUCAUUAUCCCUUUUUCACAAUCAUCAUCACCUCAUUCAUACUCACAUUCAUCACUGAGCCACCAUCACCAUAGCCAGCCACCACAACCACCUCCAAAUCCAUAAUCUCAGCUACAUCUAUC
rnacentral:lncRNA from 1 species